AGUAAUGAAGUGUGCUGUGAGUCCCACAGGAGACAGGCUGUACAUCACCAGCUGGUACCAGGACAAGCUUCUCACCCUGGCCAGGGAUGGCACACUCCUGGCUACAUACACAGACCCAGCACUAAGUGGCCCACGUGGUCUACAUGUGACCCCUGCAGGCCAGGUGCUGGUCUGUGGACGCUGGUCCGACACUGUACUACAGGUGGGCUGGGAGGGGCAGAGUAAGCUGGCUAAUCUUGCUACUGAGGAGGAUGGAGUGUGGGAGCCACGGUCAGUCUGCUACAGCAGCACAACAUCGUCCAUCAUUGUGGGACAAUAUGAUGACAACAUCCUGGUGUUCAGAGUGGAAUAGUGUGUACAUUGCUGCAGGACAACGAUGCUGAGGAUGUGGUGGACAAGAAUGACCUGAAUACGCAGAAGGACAGCACCACCAUUGAUAUUGAGUUGGCCCAGCAACAGCACCAGUCCGGACUGCAGGAGCCCCAGUCCAGGACGACCCAUCCACUCCCCUGACCCAUAGCUCAUCAUACUUGAUAUCCGGAAAAUGGGGCCUAAUGCAUGUGCUUAAAUUGUUGUCACAGAUUAGCCUGUGCAGUUUGCACAGGCUAAUAAUGGACAACACUUUCCUCUUAAAGCAGAGCACCAGCAUUGAUAUCGAGUUGGCCCAGCAACCGCACCAGUCCCGCCUGCAGAAGCCCCAGUCCAGAACGACCCUUCCCCUCCCUUGACUUCUAACUCCUCCUCUUGACCGCCUGCCUCAAAAAGUCAGCAUCGUUGAACAACUCCGUUCUGCAGGAAAUUCUGAGCAUGAUUCUGUUCUGAACAAACGCAAUGCCCACGUCACGUUUUCCAAACAUAAGCCUGGGUAGUUUUGUUAAGCUAGAGUUCCGCGUGGGCCUGAAAGGGACAAGUGUUACAGACACAAACAGUUAUAGCAGUAGUUAUGGUAACGCUAACAGUCAGUUGUUGCUGUUGGACAUCACAACAAAUAUCAUGAAGAAUAAAAAUUUCAAUAAGUUGUUCCAAUUUUUAUGGGACAAUUGUAACAGAAAUUGAACGGAAGAAAAUCAAGGAACAAUAAAAGCGUAAGCUUUCCUAGUGGAAUACAUCUGCUGUUGAUAGUUUGAACAACAGUAGGGUUACGGACUGCCCCAGAUUGUCCUCUCAGCAAUAAUGACUUGGUUGUGAAUAACCUGAGCACGAUACAUCCAUGCUGACAAAGGCAGUAAUGACUUGGUUGUGAACACCCAGAGCGGGAUACAUCCAUGCUGACACAGUUAGGCAGUAAUGACUUGGUUGUGAACACCCAGAGCACAAUACAUCCGUGCUGACACAGAAAGGCAGUAAUGACUUGGUUGUGAACACCCAGAGCACGAUACAUCCAUGCUGACACAGAAAGGCAGUGUGACUUGGCUGUGAACACAGAACACAAUACACCCAUGCUGACACAGAAAGGCAGUAAUGAGUUGGUUGUGAACACCCAGAGCAAGAUAUUUCCAUGCUGACACAGAAAGGCAGUAAUGACUAUGCUGUGAACACCUUGAGCAAGACAUAUCCUUGCUAACACAGAAAGGCAGUAAUGACUAUGCUGUGAACAGCCGGAGAAUAAUACAUCCAUGCUUACACAGAAAGGCAGUAAUGACUUGGUUGUGAACACCCAGGGCAAGAUAUAUCCAUGCUGACACAGAAAGGCAGUAAUGACUAUGCUGUGAACACCCAGAGCAAGAUAUAUCCAUGCUGACACAGAAAGGAAGUAAUGACUUGGUUGUGAACACCCAGAGCACAAUACAUCCAUGCUGACACAGAAAGGCAGUAAUGACUUGGCUGUGAACACAGAACACGAUACACACAUGCUGACACAGAAAGGCAGUAAUGACUUGGCUGUGAAAACAGAGCACAAUACAUCCAUGCUGAAACAUAAUGGCAGUCAUGACUAUGCUGUGAACACCCAGAGCAUGAUAUAUCUAUGCUGACACAGAAAGGCAGUAAUGACUAUGCUUUGAACACCCAGAGCAAGAUAUGUCCAUGCUGACACAGAAAGGCAGUAAUGACUAUGCUGUGAAAACCCACAGAAAGAUAUAUCCAUGCUGACACAGAAAGGCAGUAAUGACUAUGCAGUGAACACCCAGAGCAAGAUAUAUCCAUGCUGACACAGAAAGGCAGUAAUGACUUGGUUUUGAACAACCAGAGCACGAUAUAUCCAUGCUGACACAGAAAGGCAGUAAUGACUUGGCUGUGAACACAGAACACGAUACACCCAUGCUGACAUAGAAAAGGCAGUAAUGACUUGGCAGUGAACACAGAACACGAUACACCCAUGCUGACACAGAAAGGCAGUAAUGACUUUGCUGUGAACACAGAGAACAAUACAUCCAUGCUGACACAGAAAGGCAGUAAUGACUUGGCAGUGAGCACAGAACACCAUACAUCCAUGCUGAUACAGAAAGGCAGUAAUGACUUGGCUGUGAACACAGAGCACAAUACAUCCAUGCUGUCACAGAAAGGCAGUUAUGACUCGGUUGUGAACACAGAGCACAAUACAUCCUUGUUGACACAGAAAGGCAGUAAUGACUUAGCUGUGAACACAGAGCACAAUACAUCCAUGCUGACACAGAAAGGCAGUUAUGACUUGGUUGUGAACACAGAGCACAAUACAUCCUUGUUGACACAGAAAGGCAGUUAUGACUUUGCUGUGAACUCAGAGCACGAUACAUCCAUGCUGACACAGAAAGGCAGUAAUGACUAUGCUGUGAACACCCAGAGCACAAUACAUCCAUGCUGAAACAGAAAGGCAGUCAUGACUAUGCAGUGAACACCCAGAGCAAGAUAUAUCUAUGCUGACACAGAAAGGAAGUAAUGACUAUGCUGUGAACACCCAGAGCAAGAUAUAUCCAUGCUGACACAGAAAGGCAGUAAUGACUAUGCUGUGAACACCCAGAGUACAAUACAUCCAUGCUGAAACAGAAAGGCAGUAAUGACUUGGUUGUGAACACAGAGCACAAUACAUCCUUGUUGACACAGAAAGGCAGUAAUGACUUUGCUGUGAACUCAGAGCACGAUACAUCCAUGAUUACACAGAAAGGCAGUAAAGACUUGGUUGUAAACACCCAGAGCACAAUACAUCCAUGCUGACACAGAAAGGCAGUAAAGACUUGGUUGUAAACACCCAGAGCACAAUACAUCCAUGCUGACACAGAAAGGCAAUAAAGACUUGGUUGUAAACACCCAGAGCACAAUACAUCCAUGCUGACACAGAAAGGCAGAAAAGACUUUGUUGUAAACACUAAGAUAUCCAUACAUCCAUGGGGUGUGCUACAGACGCAAAUUACGCCCACCAUUUUGAACAAGGUGCUUAAAGUGAACACAUCUGGUUUCUGUUAUGAACACUUAGCACUCCGAGUCCAAAAGGCCUCACAUUGAAUUGAUGCAAGAGAAGGCUUUGAAAAAUAACAGCAGUUUUGUUGUGUGGUCCAGUACACCCUUCGACUAGCAAACUGAAAAAAGCAGAACUCAAACUCGUCUCUUAGCAAUAUCAGCAAGGCCAGCAUGUCAUAUCAGCUUCUUGAGCUUCAGUGAGCUUUACUAGCAAACAUGACAAACGUCAUUGAAGUGAAAGUCGAUGACAAAUCGACUUCUUGCACAAAUACUACAACUCCCUUAAGAAAUUCAGCACGAAGACAUCUUGCGUCAGACUACCAAGCCUCCUAUCAAUAUCUCCUACCAUAUUGGGUACAUCAAUACUUCCAAAAGCAGAGCCUCGGUGAGUUCGACUUCCGUCUCAGCAUCGAUGUCGCUUAGCAACAAUUGGAUGAUGGGCGUCGACAAAUAAGCCGGAUAAGUCGCUCUAACUGAAACAAUUUGAUCCAACAGGUAGAGCAGGCGUUGCGUGACACGUCCGUUAAUGUGACUGACCUCGAUAUGUUGUUCUCGAAUAAUGUGAACCUUAGGCCUGGAGAGCAGUAUGCGAUUGAUGCCAUUCAACAAAAGUUGUUCUUGGCAAUUCUCAGGUUUGGGGUGGCGACUUCAGCGUCAGGACUUGCUCCAUCUCUGUCUAUUGCCCAGUCGCAGCAGCAGCAGCAGCAGCAACAAGAACAAUAAGUAGUAUCUUAGCGGUGUUCUGGGAUAUGGGGCUUCAUGUAUGUGCUUAAAUUGUCAUCCCAGAUUAGCCUGUGCAGACUGCACCUACAUAAAGUCCUAUUAAAUUGUCAUCCCAGAUUAGCCUGUGCAGACUGCACAUACAUAAAGUUCUAUUAAAUUGUCAUCCCAGAUUAGCCUGUGCAGACUGCACAUACAUUAAGUCCUAUUAUAGUGUCAUUCCAGAUUAGCCUGUGCAGACUGCACAUACAUUAAGUCCUUUUAAAGUGUCAUCCCAGAUUAGCCUUUGCAGACUGCACAUACAAUAAGUCCUAUUAAAUUGUCAUCCCAGAUUAGCCUGUGCAGACUACACAUACAUUUAGUCCUAUUAAAGCGUCAUCCCAGAUUAGCCUGUGCAGACUGCACAUACAGUGACAUCCCAGAUUAGCAUGUGCAGACUGCACAUACAUUAAGUCCUAUUAAAGUGUCAUCCCAUAUUAGCCUGUGCAGACUGCACCUAUUAAAGUGUCAUCCCAGAUUAGCCUGUGCAGACUACACAUACAUUAAGUCCUAUUAAAGUGUCACCCCAGAUUAGCCUGUGCAGACUGCACAUACAUUAAGUCCUAUUAAAAUGUCAUCCCAUAUUAGCCUGUGUAGACUGCACAUACAUUAAGCCCUAUUUUCCCAGAAUGAGGCUCAUAUACUACACUUAACAUCAGUAUUUUAUGUGACUGAAAAGUUCCUAGCAUCAAAUGGGAAUUAUGUGCUUUUAAAUUGAUCACACUUAGUAAAUAAAAUGCAAAUAGCACUUGAUCUGAUAUCAAUUUUAAUCAUAGAAGGUCAGGGCAUUAAGUUUUGUAUAUUUUUGACCGAAAUUCAGCUCCUGAACCAAAUGUUUAUCCUUGCAUAAAAAUCUGCUUUAAUAGAAUUGUUAAAUUAUAUUUAAUUUUAGUAAAAUAAUUAUGUAAAAGCCUGCAGCUUCAGCUUAUUUUCUUCAUUUAUUUUCAAUGUUUAUUUAAAUUCCUGGAUUUUGUUUUAAGAGCCUGUUCCUACAGGAACCCAUGCAAUCAUAGAUCGGUACCUAGCUGAACAACAGGCUGUCUGGUCAGCUGGGCCCAGACGCCCAGUGACACUUCCUGGCCCAGGACCUUGGGGGAAAUGCUCAACAGUCCUACCUGCAGGGUAGAGCCACACUGAACCUGGGGCUCCAUACUUUCUUGGCCAUGGGCCAAGAUAUCCUCAUCAAUAAGGGACACAUUCCUGGGAUUCCCUAAGGUCUUUCUAUCUGUUCACAGAGGUCUUAUACUCACAAGUUCAAGCCCAGUGAGCGAUGUUCACAUUAUCAAACUCUGCAUCUCAAUAGAGACCCGGAUAGCAAAGCGUUGGUUUGUUUUUGAAGCAUUUGAACCAGCAACAGUCAUCAUUGGAGUUUCUGACAUGUCUAUGGUGCGGAACCCUCAGUCUAUGAACAUCAUAACAGCACAUGAACCAGCAGCAGUCAUCAUCUCAAGAUUCUGGUAUAUCCAAGAUGCAAUUUGAGGAAAUCAAACCAUCCAAUCAGAAACACAGCCUGUUGCAGCAAUUGUUAACAUAUUGACCCCAGUCAAACCUAAGAAGCUCAGAGUUACAUACUGUUUUAAAUGUGCUAGUCUUCACAUACCUCCUGGUUUGUUCAACACUUACUCUAAAUCUUUUAAUGUUACGACGGGUGAAAAUGAAUGACCUUGUUCAGAUCGAAAUUGCAAAAUGACACAUCACAACCAUUCAAGUGGAAAGCCACAAAGUCAUGUCAACAGCCACAUGUUGUAUGUUGCCAGCCAAGUUGUAUUAAAAAACACAAUAGCUUACGUUUUAUGUUAUAUGUGACCAACCGUGUAAUAUUCAUACAAAAACAAUAGUUUAUGUUUUAGGGGAAUUGUUAUGCUGUCAGUCUUUAUGUUGAAAUAUUGUGUUCAAUAUAGCAUGUUAAGUAUUUUAAAAGCAUGCAUAUUGCACGUAUAUGCAAUCUCUUUGUCUAUAUUAUGAUAUCACUACAUAUUGUGAUCCUGUUAAUGGUAAACUAAUGGGAAAUACACUUUUAUUAAAGACUUUCAAAGUGUGACAAAGCUGUUUUAAUGAGGUUGGUAACUUGGACAACAUUAAAAAAAUAUUGGAGUAGUUUCAUGUUAUAAAACAUGUUUCAGUUUUCGGUUUUUUACCGGUUUUAUAUAUAAGCUAGAUAAAAGUAGUGUAAAGAAAGGUUAAGAAGUUUUACGCUUCAGCUUUUUCUGUUUAUCAAUCUUUCUAAAAAAAUACUAGUAAAUUUGCUCAUUCGGGUCGGUAUUCGACAAAGAAUCUUGUUUAAUAGCAAUCGUGGAAAUCUGAAUAAAUUAUGUGCACACUUAUGUAAUGUACCUAAAAGUAUUGAUUCUGUAUUUACUACCAGUACUUUGUUGAUUUCAAUGGAUAUUGUUUGUUAAAUAGUCGAGAAUGGCUCUUGCAUUUUUGGGAAUACUUUAAGGCAAACUGAAAAUUUAAAAAAUAAUAAUUUUUUAGAGUUUUAUGAAAAAUGGCAAAAGUUAUAAAUGUUAAUUUAUGUUGUUAGAUCAUAGACUUAGAUGCUCAUAAGUGUUUAAAUUUAUUUUCGGACAUAAUAGUUUAUAAUGCUUUAUAUUUGUAUAUGCAUAUGAAGACGACCAAAAUGUAUCCUCUUUCAUCACUGAGUAUCUUAAUCAAUAUCUCUUGCAGUCUUGGUCACUGCAUACAUUGUAGAGGUAUAUUUUGACAUUUAUACACAGAGCAACUGUGAAACAAUAGUAUUUUAAAUGUACAUUAUUUAUUUAUUGUUGCAAUUUUUAUAAGAUAAACUCACUGUUUACAUUAAUUUGUACAAACCAUAGUCAUAAAAAUAUUGAUUGUGUGAAUCCUCAUAUAUGUAUUAAACUGUUAAAAUAAUGCACAGUAACAGAUUCGGAAGAGAAAACUAUACUCAAUGAAAUAUAAACACCUUGUUAUAUCAACUGCUUUUAAUUAAGAACAACUACUUAAAAUAAGUUUAAUUUUGUUUUACAUUAUCUAAAGAAAAUUUAGUACCUUGUUAUUUGAAAUCAGUCAUUCACAAAUUAAGGAAGAGUGUUGUCAUAUGCUAACAAUUGUCAACUAGAAAUGGCGCGGCAGAGGCCGACGCGUAUCCCCACGCCGAAUGUUUGACCUAGGUGUGCCCCAGGGUUGGUAAUGGGGCCAUGCAUAGCUGAGAUUGACCGUAUUGUCAUAAGAGAAGUUCAUCAUCAAUUAGAAAUGAAUUGGUGUAGAAAUGAAGAAGUUAUAGUAAAAGGCAAUUUUGGGUGGGUGUGACAUAUGUGGGCAGGGCGCCCCAGGGUUGGUAAUUGUGCCAUGCAUAGUUGAGAUUGACCGUAUUGUCAUAAGAGAAGUUCAGUAUCAAUUUGAAGUGAAUCGGUGUAGAAAAGAAGAAAUUAUAGUAAAAGGCAAUUUUGGGUGGGUGUGGUCUAUGUGGGCGGGGCCCCAGGGUUGGUAAUGGGGCCAUGCAUAGUUGAGAUUGCCGUAUUGUCAUAAGAGAGGUUCAGUAUCAAUUUGAAGUGAAUCGGUGUAGAAAUGAAGAAAUUAUAGUAAAAGGCAAUUUUGGGUGGGUGUGGUCUAUGUGGGCGGGGCGCCCCAGGGUUGGUAAUGGGGCCAUGCAUAGUUGAGAUUGACUGUAUUGUCAUAAGAGAAGUUCAAUAUCAAUUUGAAGUGAAUCGGUGUAGAAAUGAAGAAAUUAUAGUAAAGGCAAUUUUGGGUGGGUGUGGUCUAUGUGGGCGGGGCCCCAGGGUUGGUUAUGGGGCCAUGCAUAGUUGAGAUUGACCCUAAUGUCAUAAGAGAAGUUCAGUAUCAAUUGAAGUGAAUCCGUGUAGAAAUGAAAAAAUUAUAGUAAAUGGAAUUUUUUGGUGGGUGUGGCCUAUGUGGGCGGGCGCCCCAGGGUUGGGAUUGGGGCCAUGCAUAGUUGAGAUUGACCAUAAUGUCAUAACAAAAGUUCAGUAUCAAUUUGAAGUGAAUCCGUGUAGAAAUGAAAAAAUUAUAGUUAAUGGAAAUUUUUGGUGGGUGUGGCCUAUGUGGGCGGGGCGCCCCAGGGUUGGGAAUGGGGCCAUGCAUGGUUGAGAUUGACCGUAUUGUCAUAAGAGAGGUCCUGUAUCAAUUUGAAGUGAAUCGGUGUAGAAAUAAAGAAGUAAAUAUAAAAUAACCUAAAAAAAUGAGUGAUAAUUUCUGAUGCAGCCCCACCCCAACCGCUAUAACUUUUGACCCAGGGGUCAGAUCAAAAUUCCAAAUAGUGCAGGGUCGCACAUAUGCUCAUAGCUACCAUGUGUGUAAGUUUCAAGGUUCUAGUGCUUUUAGUGUAGGAGGAGAUAGUGGCCAGGACGGACGGACAGACAGACAGACAGACAGACGGACGGACGGACGGCGGAGAUAACCACAAUAUCCCCACCUUUUUUUAAAAAAGCGUGGGGAUAAAAAAUGCAAUUGUCUCUAUUUGUUAAGGUAGAGAGCAAUAGUAUUUGCUUAACAAAAUAAAAACAAAGAUGUCGUCUUUGUAAGUGUAUGUGGAAUAAACACUUAUGUUUGUGCUUAAAUUAAACGUGAAUGUAUUGACGUAUUGCUGAUAAUAAAGUUUGACUUUUUAUUAGUUUUGUAACAAUGUGUUUGACCUUUUAUGUUAACAUUCCCACAAUUGAUGUCAGUGCAGUGCCUUCAAUGGAGCCAUUUUCUGUAAAUCUUCCACUGUUAAAGUUAAGCAAAUGUUUUAAGACCAGAUUUCCUUAAACUUGAAGUUGUUUAUAUUUAACAUUUUUUGAAUGCAUGAAACAUGUUUGUUACGUUGUAGAAUAGCUGAAAAUAGCUGAAAAUAGCUUGAUGUUUGUAAAUUGUGUGACAUGUUGAUCAAAUUGAUACAUAGAGACCAACACUCAUUAUGCGUUAAUUUCUAUGUUUAGCUAAACAAAAAAUGUUACCAAACACAAAUAUAAGAUAUAUUCGUAAAACAGUUUCAAAUGCAAUUUGAAAUAUAAUGUUUAAAUAUGUUUGUCGACUCCAAAUAAGCAUUUUGAAUAAGCAAAUCAAUACAUUAAUAAUAUCUAUGGAAAGUACACGUAGGCACUUUUCAAUCGCUUGUGUACUUCAUAUUGAUCAGGGUCUUUCUAAAUUCAUGCAUGAUUUUUUAUGCCUAUGUCUGAAUUGUGUAAAUAUCUGUUAUAUAACUGUGAAAAAAGGAUUUUUAUAUUAAAAGUUAAAAUAGUGUAUAAACUGUAACCGGGCAUCUGUUGCAUUUAUUUUUACGUGUUUAUAUUUUCUGGCCUACUGAGCUUAAGUUUGUCUAUAAUCGUGCGUACUUUUAUUGUCGUUUUCGUAUUAAGACAAAGCUCACUACACUUAUGCUGUUGUUUUUGUCCACCAUUUCUAUACAAAUUGUUGUAUGUAAAUAAUUUAACAUGUCGAUGUUGGUAAUAAUGUAUUUCCUAAUCUAAUAUUGAUGAUGCACUCAAUAAAGUACAUAACCAUUUA